rnacentral:rRNA from 1 species
CAGCCGCCGCGGUAAUACGUAGGGUGCGAGCGUUAAUCGGAUUUACUGGGCGUAAAGCGUGCGCAGGCGGUUCGUUAAGACAGAUGUGAAAUCCCCGGGCUUAACCUGGGAACUGCAUUUGUGACUGACGGGCUAGAGUAUGGCAGAGGGGGGUAGAAUUCCACGUGUAGCAGUGAAAUGCGUAGAGAUGUGGAGGAAUACCGAUGGCGAAGGCAGCCCCCUGGGCCAAUACUGACGCUCAUGCACGAAAGCGUGGGGAGCAAACAGGAUUAGAGACCCCCGUAGUCCCUGUCUCUUAUAA